rnacentral:rRNA from 1 species
GACGAACGCUGGCGGCGUGCCUAAUACAUGCAAGUAGAACGCUGAAGGAGGAGCUUGCUCUUCUGGAUGAGUUGCGAACGGGUGAGUAACGCGUAGGUAACCUGCCUGGUAGCGGGGGAUAACUAUUGGAAACGAUAGCUAAUACCGCAUAACAUUGACUAUUGCAUGAUAGUCAAUUAAAAGGUGCAAAUGCACCACUACCAGAUGGACCUGCGUUGUAUUAGCUAGUUGGUGGGGUAACGGCUCACCAAGGCGACGAUACAUAGCCGACCUGAGAGGGUGAUCGGCCACACUGGGACUGAGACACGGCCCAGACUCCUACGGGAGGCAGCAGUAGGGAAACUUCGGCAAUGGACGGAAGUCUGACCGAGCAACGCCGCGUGAGUGAAGAAGGUUUUCGGAUCGUAAAGCUCUGUUGUAAGAGAAGAACGAGUGUGAGAGUGGAAAGUUCACACUGUGACGGUAUCUUACCAGAAAGGGACGGCUAACUACGUG